GAUCCUGGCUCAGGACGAACGCUGGCGGCGUGCCUAAUACAUGCAAGUCGAACGAGAGCGACCGGUGCUUGCACUGGUCAAUCUAGUGGCGAACGGGUGAGUAACACGUGGGUAACCUGCCCAUCAGAGGGGGAUAACAUUCGGAAACGGAAUGCUAAAACCGACAUAGGUCUUCAAACCGCAUGGUUUGUAAGAGGAAAAGAAGGCGCAAGACUUCUUGCUGAUGGAUGGACCCGCGGUGCA
rnacentral:rRNA from 1 species